rnacentral:rRNA from 1 species
AGAGUUUGAUCCUGGCUCAGGACGAACGCUGGCGGCGUGCUUAACACAUGCAAGUCGAACGGAAAGGCCCUUCGGGGUACUCGAGUGGCGAACGGGUGAGUAACACGUGGGUGAUCUGCCCUGCACUUUGGGAUAAGCCUGGGAAACUGGGUCUAAUACCGAAUAUGACCAUGCACUUCCUGGUGUGUGGUGGAAAGCUUUUGCGGUGUGGGAUGGGCCCGCGGCCUAUCAACUUGUUGGUGGGGUAAUGGCCUACCAAGGCGACGACGGGUAGCCGGCCUGAGAGGGUGACCGGCCACACUGGGACUGAGAUACGGCCCAGACUCCUACGGGAGGCAGCAGUGGGGAAUAUUGCACAAUGGGCGCAAGCCUGAUGCAGCGACGCCGCGUGAGGGAUGACGGCCUUCGGGUUGUAAACCUCUUUCAGCACAGACGAAGCGCAAGUGACGGUAUGUGCAGAAGAAGGACCGGCCAACUACGUGCCAGCAGCCGCGGUAAUACGUAGGGUCCGAGCGUUGUCCGGAAUUACUGGGCGUAAAGAGCUCGUAGGUGGUUUGUCGCGUUGUUCGUGAAAACUCACAGCUUAACUGUGGGCGUGCGGGCGAUACGGGCAGACUUGAGUACUGCAGGGGAGACUGGAAUUCCUGGUGUAGCGGUGGAAUGCGCAGAUAUCAGGAGGAACACCGGUGGCGAAGGCGGGUCUCUGGGCAGUAACUGACGCUGAGGAGCGAAAGCGUGGGGAGCGAACAGGAUUAGAUACCCUGGUAGUCC